UACGUAGGGGGCAAGCGUUUGUCCGGAUUCAUUGGGCGUAAAGAGCGUGUAGGCGGCCAGGUAGGUCGGUUGUGAAAACUGGAGGCUCAACCUUCAGAGGUCGACCGAAACCAUCUGGCUAGAGUCCGGGAGAGGAGAGUGGAAUUCCUGGUGUAGCGGUGAAAUGCGCAGAUAUCAGGAAGAACACCCGUGGCGAAAGCGGCUCUCUGGAACGGUACUGACGCUGAGACGCGAAAAGCGUGGGGAGCGAACAGG
rnacentral:rRNA from 1 species